rnacentral:misc_RNA from 1 species
AACCAUAGAAACCUGCGGAGUACCUGCGGAAGGAUCAUUACCGAGUUUACAACUCCCAAACCCCUGUGAACAUACCAAUUGUUGCCUCGGCGGAUCAGCCCGCUCCCGGUAAAACGGGACGGCCCGCCAGAGGACCCCUAAACUCUGUUUCUAUAUGUAACUUCUGAGUAAAACCAUAAAUAAACCAAAACUUUUAACAACGGAUCU